rnacentral:lncRNA from 1 species
UGGCCCCUGGGGUUGCCAAGGCUGAGGGAGCCGCUGCCCGGCUGCGCCGCGCCCUCGCGGAUCUGGGAGUCCAAGUUAAGCCGGCGGAGCUGGCAGAGCGGAGGCGCUGCGGCGGCGGCGGACUCCGCGCGGCUCGGGCACCUCUCUUCCUUAUCUCUUACUCAAACUUCUCGGCUCCAACUCAGCUCCAUCGCCAUUGGUCUGACGCAGCGCGCGGGGACGUCAGGCGAGCGCCGCGCCCAUUGGCUGCGGGGCGCGCGGCGCAGCUGUUCUGAUUAUCAUAUUUCAGCCUCGCCGCCGCCGUGCGCCACUGACCGCUCGGCGAGCCCGCGGGAGAGGAUUAGGGCUCCCGAGGCAACUUGCUCCGGGCUGAGGCCGCUCUCCCCCGGAGCUCGGGCUGCCCGGCCGCUCUGGCUUUUGGCCUUCCUCUUCUUCCCCUUCUCCUCCUCCUGCCCCCUCCCUUGCUCCUGGCCGGCCGUGCCGUCUGCGCCCUCGCCUUCCGUCGCGCUGCUCCUCCGCCCUGCGCUCCUGGGGUCCCCGCAAUCCGGCUGGCUGUGCUGCGCGCGGGGCACUUUUCUGCCGCCGGUGGCGAGUGGCUGGUGGGUUGAGAGACGGAUUUACCCUGCUACUCUACCUGCUAAAUACCAAGAAAAGGGGCUCUGGAGACGACUCCUUCCAGAAAGAAUGUCAUCUGAUCAACUCAACCGAGUUAAUAACUUGCUCCGGAAAGGGUCAAGAACGCCUAUCCUUCCCACCCGCGCAGCUGCGCGGCGCGGAGGUCAACUUCCCUAUCCCAGGUAGCUCCUAGCCAGGGCCCAGAAGCUCCUGUCCUACGGUUCUUUGCGGGCUCAGUCCUGCGAUCAAGUUUCUAGUAUUUCCAAGAACCCCCCACCCUUCCGUGUUCAAGCACAUAUGUCUCUAGAAAUUUAGCCUAGCCGGGGUCCCGGGAUAAGAGAAGCCUGAAACAAAGAGACGCAACCCCCGCCCCUCCGGAUCCCCUGGGCCUUCUCCCUCCAGGAUUUCCAAUUUACCAACCUUCUAGCUGGACCCUCACCCCCCACCCAGUGUUCUGCGCUCCAGGGCAUUUUCCGAUUCCCUCUUCCCAUGGACAAAAGGGGAAAAAGCGAAUCGAAUCUAAACCCCUUGUCCUCACUCCUCCUGCUAGGCUAUAGGAGAAAACCAACGUCACGCCGACCUGUCUCCUCCCUAGGCUGGCGAGCGCAGCCCCUGGAGAGGCCACUCAGUUCCUUAGUGUGAAUUUCCUUGCCACCCACGUUUGGGACCAGAGCCCGGGCUGGCCUCCGACGCGCUUUGGUGGGCCCAGGUGGGGACGUGGAAACAAAAGUGAAUGAAUCCUGCCGCCCGAGGCUCCGGUCACUAAAAGAGGAGGAGUCCCUGUGUGCCACCUGGAGGCUGUCUGCCUGGGGACUUUCCAAUCUCCUAAAGGUGAAGAGUGGAGAAAGACAGCUCUACCUCCGGCUGUGGCCUCAGAGAUGAAACCCCCUGGGAAGGUUAAGCUUUCAGUCUUAGGUUGCUCCCUUCUCCGCUGGUGCUUCAGUAUGCCGGGUUUCCCCAAAAUGAAUACACGUGUGGAAAUGAAAGAAUCAAGGUACCAUUUUAAUGGCUUCAAACUCUGUCAAAUCACCUCUUUAUGCCAUCUCCAGAGGCUCAACUUUCUCUGAGUACCUACACUCCAGAAAAUUGUGAGGACAGCAUUCCCUCUGCAUUCGCCUUGUUGGCGGCGUCGGGAAAUGGCAUUAUAGUUAUUAGUACGCAAUAUUUUAAAAGAACAGUUUAUUUCUUAAUAUCGUCCUCAAAAUAUAGACAGCCCAAAGUAUUAGUUGCCAUUCGCCCCCCUCCCCAAGUUUAUUCUAUUCACUUUGUGUUGCAAACGUUGAAUUGGAAAACAAGAGAGAAACCCCGCAGCGCAGAUUCACUUCUGAGCUCAACUGUCAGGCGGGGGACCCGCCUGGGCUGAUUAGCAGAGAGACGGGCUCCUUUGUUGAUUUAAGAGUUCACCAGCCAAGACAUAACAAUUACCUUGACGCCUUUUCUGAGUUGUCUAUUGUUGACUUAUAUCUGCAGUGCCUCCACUGUACAAAAUUAGAUCCAAAAAAAGGAAAAACAAAAAAAUGUAAGUGAAAAUAUAAUAAUGGUAAUAGAGGUCUGUUUUAACUGGCUUUGUUAAUGAAUUGUAUAUAUCUCACACACAUCUAUAUGAAAGAUAUCAAAAGUGUAUAGCACAUCAUAUUUUAUGUAUAAGUUAUAUGUUAUAUGCUAAUGUAACAUCAUUUUUACGUUAUAAGUUAAUGCCAUAAAGAAAAGUUUGAAAUGCUAUCUUUUAUACACAUAACACCCUCUGUCAAAAAAAUAAUUAGCAGGCUUAAAAUCGAUAUUCAGAGGUGUUCCUAUAGAGAACAAAAGCCAAACUUCAAGAACAGAAAUCCCAUCAAAUAUGAUGGUACAAAACUAGGUUGCUACAGAUUAAUUCCAUUCUGUUUUGCACAAUCUCAUUUUUUUUCAAGCUGUGCACUUAAAAUUUGUAUUUUAUCAUUUAACUGUUCUGAAAUCUUUGAUCACAUCCUAUCAGCAAGAAAUAAAAUCUGAAAAAGCCAUCGAUAAUGCCUAAGGAAUUACUAUAAUUAACUUUGGCGCUUUGACAAUAUUGUGCUCAUUCUUAUUUAAAUGUAUAUAUUAAAGUUAAUUAUUGUAUAUUAAAUAUAUUAAAGUUAAAAUGACUGUAUAAUGAGAUAAUAUCACCCCAUCAUACUUUACAAGAAAUUAAUAUAAAGUGAAAGAGCAAGUGUAAACUUCUUGAUAAUGACUAAAGUUUAUUAUCAAAAUAUAAUAAUAAUAUUAAGAUUCAUACGUGUAACAAAUAUGUAACUAUCCACCCUCCUAUCAGAGUGCUCAAUCUAGUUAUAAAAACAUUGAACUAUUAUUAUAUGAUGUAGGGUCUCACUUGAAUGUAGCUAAAUUGAUGUUUUGCCAUAAUUUAAGAAUCCUUUCCCUACUCCCUAGAUACAUGUAAUAGCCUAGAAAGAUCACUGCAUCUUUAACUGUAAUGCUAAAUCAGAAAUUAUAUUAUUACCUGUAACUAGCAUCCUGCUGAUUUUCACUUAAAUAUCUAGACCCAAAUUAUUUUAUAUCUCACUUCAGAAUGUGGUACAAUGUGCUAUUUCAUCUUCUUGGGCUUGUCUUACAAUUUGUUAUAGACCCUUCUUUUUAUGAGCCUCACAAACCAUCAGUGAUAGUGAUGAGAUGCACUGUAUAUAGUUACACUGGCUUUGGAUUCUUGUAUGGUGUAUGGAAAAUAAAAAUCAUAUCUUUUAGGUCUUGAUGGUGUAUUCCUUCCAAUCCUGAGAUGUUGAUUUAGCUGUCCCGAGUGUCACAUGACGUGCCCCUCCGUGAUCCUGUACUUGAGCCAUUGCAGAAGUGCUGAUGUGACUUUGGUGUGCUGGGCCAGGGCAAAUAUAUUCUUUUGAAUUAUGCCAGCAUUGAGGAAGAAACAUGAGUCCAGAUCUCAAAAUGGGAGAAAAGGUGAUCGGAUGAGAAAUCCCUCUUUUUGAACACAGUGGUAGAGGAAGAAUUGGGUGUACCUGACUUUAUCAGCCAUCAAAAAAGAGGAUGAACAUGGCUGUUAGACUAAGAGGAGAAAAGUAUUCAGUUUCGAGGAGAGAAAGAGAAAGCUCACUGAGGAGAAAGAAGAGUGAGGUCAGUGUCAAGAGAAACAAAGGAAAGGAACAGGCCUCAGUGACCCAGUGACCACUGUGCAUUAAGAACAAAACCCAGAUCCUUAUUAGCAGAGGGAAGUUGAGAAAGUAGAUGAAGACUGGGAAAAAGCAGGUUUUAUAUAGUUGUUUUUUUUUUUUUAAAUAAUCUGGCAUUUAAAACUUUAAAAACUCCA